rnacentral:rRNA from 1 species
UACGUAGGGUGCGAGCGUUAAUCGGAAUUACUGGGCGUAAAGCGUGCGCAGGCGGUUCGUUAAGUUCGUUGUGAAAGCCCCGGGCUCAACCUGGGAACUGCAAUGGAAACUGGCGGGCUUGAGUGUGGCAGAGGGGGGUGGAAUUCCGCGUGUAGCAGUGAGAUGCGUAGAGAUGCGGAGGAACACCGAUGGCGAAGGCAGCCCCCUGGGCCAACACUGACGCUCAGGCACGAAAGCGUGGGGAGCAAACAGG